GACGAACGCUGGCGGCGUGCCUAAUACAUGCAAGUAGAACGCUGAAGGAGGAGCUUGCUUCUCCGGAUGAGUUGCGAACGGGUGAGUAACGCGUAGGUAACCUGCCUGGUAGCGGGGGAUAACUAUUGGAAACGAUAGCUAAUACCGCAUAACAGUAGAUGUUGCAUGACAUUUGCUUAAAAGGUGCAAUUGCAUCACUACCAGAUGGACCUGCGUUGUAUUAGCUAGUUGGUGAGGUAACGGCUCACCAAGGCGACGAUACAUAGCCGACCUGAGAGGGUGAUCGGCCACACUGGGACUGGGACACGGCCCAGACUCCUACGGGAGGCAGCAGUAGGGAAUCUUCGGCAAUGGACGGAAGUCUGACCGAGCAACGCCGCGUGAGUGAAGAAGGUGUUCGGAUCGUAAAGCUCUGUUGUAAGAGAAGAACGAGUGUGAGAGUGGAAAGUUCACACUGUGACGGUAUCGUACCAGAAAGGGACGGCGAACUACGU
rnacentral:rRNA from 1 species